GGAAGGAAGGAAGGAAGGAAGGAAGGAAGGAAGGAAGGAAGGAAGGAAGGAAGGAAGGAAGGAAGGAAUGAGAUCAUUACAGAAACAUAUUUUGAAACUGCAGUAGUUCAGCGUCUAGUCUCUGUUUUCAUAAACCCAUGCAACUCCAUAGACUCUCAGCAUUAGUGUCUUGGCCCAUGCCAGGGCACUGCAAUUUAUCAUCCUCCCAGAGUCAAAGCCCUUCUCAGUACAGAAGAAUGGGAUGAAGUUUCAUAGCCAAGGAUCCUUGGGACACAAGUGUUCAGGUCAGGAGUGAGCAGAGGUGUCCCCUUCAGCUCCCAGAGGUGACGGUUUAGCCACACACUUACCUGUUCACACGAAUAUCCACUAUUAUAUUCCCAGCAAUCUGCUGGACAUCAAUGCCUUGCUGAUAAACUGGAAAUCCUCACCUUCUAUCCUCACCUCUCAAAUGACCCAUGAAAGAGUCUUGGAGAUCAAAGAAAUCCUCUUCCAUCCUUAUCCUUCGGACAGAAAAACUGAUGGGAUUUAGCACCCAUGUGGGAAUAUGAGCAUUGCACCUUAGGCAGACUAAAGUGGAACUGAUGAAUAAUCAGUGAUGCAACAGCUGUUAUCCAGAGAUAACAGAGGACUUCAGGCUGCAGAUGUGCAUGAGGUCAAGGGAGACAAUGUUGUGCAUGAAAAAGUCAUACAAUGGAGUUCUGUGUAUUUUCCUCAGAUUUCAAGAACAAAGAAGCAACGACCUUUUGUCUGCUGCUGUCAUUCCCUGCUUCACCAUUAAGGUAGUUUUCUUUUCUUUCUUUUUUU